rnacentral:rRNA from 1 species
AUGAACGCUGGCGGCGUGCCUAAUACAUGCAAGUCGAGCGCACGGACGAGAAGCUUGCUUCUCUGAUGUUAGCGGCGGACGGGGGAGUAACACGUGGAUAACCUACCUAUAAGACUGGGAUAACUUCGGGAAACCGUAGCUAAUACCGGAUAAUAUUUUGAACCGCAUGGUUCAAAAGGGAAAGACGGUCUUGCCGUUACUUAUAGAUGGAUCCGCGCUGCAUUAGCUAGUUGGUAAGGUAACGGCUUACCAAGGCAACGAUGCAUAGCCGACCUGAGAGGGUGAUCGGCCACACUGGAACUGAGACACGGUCCAGACUCCUACGGGAGGCAGCAGUAGGGAAUCUUCCGCAAUGGGCGAAAGCCUGACGGAGCAACGCCGCGUGAGUGAUGAAGGUCUUCGGAUCGUAAAACUCUGUUAUUAGGGAAGAACAUAUGUGUAAGUAACUGUGCACAUCUUGACGGUACCUAAUCAGAAAGCCACGGCUAACUACGUG